CAGAGUGGCUGUAGGAUCAGGGGACAUCCCAGGAGGUAGCGACUUUAUCUCCAUAAAUUUAUAUUCUGAGUCCCUCCGACCGCAUAAGCCAGAGUUUAGCUAGAAUUGCAGAUGAUAAUCCAGCCGGGAGUCCAAAGUACGUUUCAGCCCAGGGCCCAUCUGUCUGACGGGUCCUCCAGCCGCCUUUCCUCCUCCUGCCCAGGCUGCUCAAGCUGCUGUCUCUACCGUGGUCCAUCGAGUAGGAGAGGCAGAGAUGAAGGCUGGACCACAGGGUGAUGGGCCUCGUCUGUGCUGGCGUCGUCAGGGCCAUGUCCUCAUUAGGGGCACAUUGCUGCUCGCACGGUGCUUCCUCCAGGGGAAAGAGGGACCCUAAUUGUGCCUGCUGUCGUGUGACCUGAACGAUGCAGGGGGCUCUGAUGGGGUGUGAGACCGUGGCCUCCUUUACCUGGUCCCCUCACAUACACAGGAGCCCACGGGGCCCAGCUGGGCGGUCCCAUGGCCCAGGGCAAACCUGCGGGGCCUCCGUGCCCACACAGUGAAAUGUGGAGGGACACGGUGUUCUGGAGGGAGGGGUGGAGUCCUGUUGUCAGCACCUCCGUCACGACGUGACGAUGGCGUGCAUGGAGAGAGGCAGGAGCAUCGGGGCGUCCUCGAACUUCCCGUGAUGUCGCUUCGCAGUGACUGAAACUGGUGAUGGGAAAGUAGCGCUUUGGAAGGCUGCUCACAGGCACUUUGUCCAGGAAGCGAGGGCCUUGCGUGCGGCCACACGGACUGCAAGCAGUUCCCAUCAGAUGCUCCACCGGACGGCCUGGGAGGAACGGCCCUGAGGGCUCCUGUUCCUGCGUGCACCCUUGACUCUUCCCCUGCCUCCGACACAAGGAAGUUGGAGCCGUUCUGGAAGCUGGAAGCUGCUCUUCUGCCCGAUACUGGUUUGAGAGGCAGUCAGGAGGGCUCCACCCCUGUCAACAGGACAAAAGUCCCAGAGUCGAGAGCUCGGCUGGGCCACUUCCUGAGGGAGAUGCAGCUCCAUGAGGCCUGGAGGCUGAGGAGAGUCAGGAGGAGACGCUGGAGAGGAGGGCCCAGCGUGGCCCAGCCUGCCCUGCGGCUCCUGGGGCUGCAGGUGCCAGUCGCACCUUCAGGGCUGCGGUUGGGUGUCCUCCACGGCGCUUGCGAGGGGGACCUUGAGGUUUCUUCUGGCCUCGGCUUCCUCUCACAACAACAAGGGUUGGUUCCUCGAAGGGCAAGGAUGCAUCACUGUUCGUGAUUUUCCAUCUCGGCUGCCUCUCGGCCUUCCCUGCUUGGGUGGCUCUUAACCCACAACCAAGGAACCCAGUGUCCUCUGGAUCUGGUUCUGCAUGCACUCUCCCAGCUCCUGCUGGUACAUGUUUCCUGGGUCCUGACGCUCGUUUGCUGACAGGUCCUUCCUUCCUCGUCAGACCCUGAGCUUCUCCAGCUGCGUGACACUGAUGUCGUGGAGGAGCAGAGCUGGAGCAGAUCACUGGGGAAUCCGUGUCGUCAUACAGACAUCUCUGCGUCAUGUUCCAGCACAGAUAGAGCAUUUGCCUUCAACAGGGAGAAGAAGGACACCUCUUCGGGUCCAGAAGAUGUAGGGAAACCUGAGGUUCAAGAAUUUGAGUGUAUUGAUCAGAUGACCCUCCCUGAAGCCUCAGGGUCUCCCUUCUUCCCAACCAGGUCCUGACAUUGGGCAGCAGCCUCCCUUGGGUUGAGGGCUGCUGUCUUUAGGACUGAGUCUUGAUCCACGGCUCUUUUUGGUUCUCUGGCUGCAGGAGAGGAGAGUGUCUAUAUGGCACCAAGGAAGCCCUCUUUUUGUCACUUUUUUUUAAAAUUGGAGAUCUUUUCAUUGCCUUGUUCUUGGCAAGAGCUGCCUGAUUCCGUAAUGCAGAUGGUUGCUGCUCUUCCCAGCCACUCCGAUGCCCUGGAUGCGGCACCCAGCAGUGUGUUUCUUUCAUUGGGCUUCCACCCUGGCUCAGUGCUACUACUGCCUGGCAGGGCUGUGGUGCCACCAGUGAUGUGCCACUUGGCAUUCUGUGCUCAACCCCACCAUACAGGCUGCUCCUGGAACACUUCUGGCCCCACCAUCUUCUGCUGGGCUCCCCUGGACACAAACUCUGAAGCAGAGGUUUGUGUGCAAGAGGUUAUUGGGAGUGUUCUCGGAAGAAAAGUCCUGUGAGCGUGGGAGGGAAGAAGGAUCGGGCAGAGGAGUAUCUUGACCACUGUGCAGGUCUGUGGGGCCUCGGCUGACCCUCUGAGAUGCUCAGCAGCUGGGGCUGCUGGUUAGUUGUCUUGAUGGAGGCAGAGCCUUGGUCUUGGGGACUGGGGGCAUCUGGAUGGCGCACGACAGCACACCCUACAGAAGCCUCUGAGGUCUCAGAGUUAGAGGCAGCAACGGUGGAGUUUGAGCCAAGGAAAAGCUGCUGUCCUAACUUGCAUGUUAAACUCGCAGUAAACACCAUGUAUGGAGGUCUUGACGGGAUGAAGUCAAGCAGGUGACGAGGACCUGGAAGGAGACUCAGGUAGCCACGGUGAAGAAUGCUUAGUAACCCUUUUCACGUGUACCUAAGCCUUUUUUUUUAGGAAAUGAGGAUAAAACAGUGAAAAACCAGGCCUUGUCUUCAGGAAGCUUGUGUUCUGGUGUGUGCAGGGUGUGUGUGGGCUACCCAGAUGGGGGAGGGGGGAAGUCAGGGGAGACACAGACCAUACCUGAGGCAAGGAAGGAACCCCACAGAGGCCUGAGGGUCAGGAGGGCAGACCCAGGGCACUUGGCUUGUGUGAGCAGCCACUGCGCUGGGAGCUAGGGCAGCCUGGGAGCCAGGGUGGCCAAGGCCAGUGGACAGCAGAGGAGCAGGAGGGCAGAUGGCAGGCAUGGGGAGCUGAGGCUGACACGCAGAACCUCCAGACUGCGUGCUUCUCCAGACCCCAUGGCUGCCCUGUCUCUCAGGUCACCUCCUGCUUCUCCAUCCCCUGCAGCUGGCCUUCUCUGGACCACUGCGAAGGCUGGGUCCCGCCAGGGGAUUCUUUUCCUUUGAUACCUUCGUGUUUGAAUUUCUUAAAACUCUGUGCAUGUGCUAGUGUUAAAUCUCAAAACCGAGUUAAUCAUACAGAGCCUCACAGUGUAAGAAAACGGAGGGAGGGGAGGGGGCACAGGGCGCCCCUGGCCCCAGAUCUCGCCGGAGCUGGGCGGUCAGCAACGUGGGACUGUCGGCAACACGGGACGGCAGGGGCGUGGGCGCCAGGACCUACGCUAAGGCCGCCCUCGCAGGCCAGGCAGCUCCAGGAGUCGGGGCCCCCCCCCGCCCCUCCCCCGUUCCCUGCUCCCCGCCCCACGUCCCCUCCCGCGCCCCCGCCGGGUCCUCCCCUCGCCAUGUUCUCCCCGCCGCCCGCCUGGUCCCCUGUGCUCAGUUACCCCCUGCCCCCGCUGGGUCCCUCUCACGCCCCGCAUCCGGUGGCCCGUGCUGAGCUCCCCGCCUGCCCCCACGGGGUCCCUCGGCCCGGUCCCUCUGCCGUGUGCCCUCUCCGCGGUGAGCCGCUCCCGGCGGGGUCCCUUCCGAUCCUUCCUUUGAGGCCGACCCCGCCCCUCUCCAGACC
rnacentral:lncRNA from 1 species